rnacentral:tRNA from 2 species
GUCUCCGUAGCUCAGCUGGACAGAGCACAGGUUUCCUAAACUCCACAAUUGGGCGCCGUGAUGGGAAACCGCACAGCGGAUCCACUCAAAUUCGGGGAAAGCUUCCGGCGCCGCGGCGCCCUGCCAAUCCCGAGCCAAGCCCGAGGUCCGGUCACGGCCCACGGGAAGGUGUAGAGACUAGACGGGUGGCACCUAAAGGCUUCGUUCGAAGCCCACGGUGAAGGGAUAGUCCAGACCACGAACGCGCGAACAGCGUGGCGGCGAAAGUCGAAGUGGUAUGAAACCUGGGGUCGCAGGUUCGAGCCCUGCCGGGGACGCCA